rnacentral:rRNA from 1 species
UACAGAGGUCCCAAGCGUUGUUCGGAUUCACUGGGCGUAAAGGGUGCGUAGGCGGUCGGGUAAGUCUGAUGUGAAAGCUCACAGCUUAACUGUGAAACUGCAUUGGAUACUAUCCGGCUCGAGGAAUGGAGGGGAGACUGGAAUACCUGGUGUAGCAGUGAAAUGCGUAGAUAUCAAGUGGAACACCAGUGGCGAAGGCGAGUCUCUGGACAUUUCCUGACGCUGAGGCACGAAAGCCAGGGGAGCAAACGGG